GCCGGCCAGAGGAGAAUUCAAAGAGGUCUUUAUGAACCGGUUUAGUUCACAAAUGCAGAGCCCUGAAGGCACUUAAGGGGGCCAUUUUGGUCCUGUGCGGACUAGGGAAUAUGUGAUGUGCAUGUUCAGCCAAGCUGACUCGGGCCUCUCAGUGCUCCCCGAGUAAACAAAACCACCUCCACUUGGAAGGCUGCUUUUAUGCCAAAGCCAGGAUGCUGCACAAACCAGACUUCAAUUCCAGUAGUCCAUGGGAGCCUGAUCUCUCAAUGCAUUUGGUGGGACACACUGAGAAGCUACCCCUAACGCGCCAGUUUCGGGCAGGAACUAUGUUUCCUGUUACCAGCGCUUCAAACCCAGAAAGAACAGUGUCCGGUCUUACCACUUCCUGC